CGUGUCACAUGGACAUGAUAUAAUGAAAAGGCAGGAACAGUGAGCCAGAGUGCGCUGAGCUCUUGGCUGAUGGAGAAAGGAGCAGAAAUGUAGCUGCGCAGUCAUCUGCCGACAGGGGAGAGGGCCAGCCGGGCCGAGCCCAGCCGAGCCCGGCCGAUCCUGACCGGGGCGGGCCGAGUCGGACUCACUGCGCCUCAUCGGACGGGACCUUUGCGUCCGCAGUUGCACCUGCCAGCUAUAACAUACACUUUAUAAAGGGGGACAUGUCGCCGGGCUUCGCGCGUAUGUCGGCUCAGUCCCGGAGCAGAAGAGGAGCGCCUCUCAAGCUGUCCCUGUUCCAGCUCUGAGACAACCUCCGCGGUUGCCAUUCAAAGUGACCUCACCAUCUCUCUGCACGGCUGCUCUCCCAGACUGGAGCAGACUCGAACUUUCUUGGCGGACAGAAGACUUUCAUAACAGCUUUGGAGUUAUUGUGAUGUCAAACUGGCUGAGCCAUGCAGGCUCUGCUGGAUGUAAAUGUAUGCUGCAGAUACCUUUGGGCUUCACAUCAGUAAGCGGGAUUGGAAUAAUUCCUUGCUGGGGAAAAAAGGUCUGAAUCUUUCUCUUUCUAUGUGUGUGUGUGUUUGUACUUUGAAUUCCUUGCAAUCAUGUUUCCGAUUCAGGGAAAUUCAGAUUACACAUUU
rnacentral:lncRNA from 1 species